rnacentral:rRNA from 1 species
AACGUAGUGGCGAGCGUUAUCCGGAUUUACUGGGCGUAAAGCGUGUGCAGGCGGGGAGACAAGUGGUGUAUGAAAUUUCCCGGCUUAACCGGGAAGGGUUAUGCCAGACUGUCUUUCUGGAGUGCGAGAGAGGGGCGUGGAAUUCCGGGUGUAGUGGUGAAAUGCGUAGAGAUCCGGAGGAACCCCAGAGGCGAAGGCGGCGCCCUGGCUCGCAACUGACGCUGAGGAGCGAAAGCGUGGGGAGCGAACAGG